GUCCAGCAGACCUGGAAUGGGACACAGGGUGUCUCAUAGUGUGGCAAACUGGAAGCACGGAUUUCAGGAUUUUGGAGAAGGCCAAGAAUCUACCUGUGAAUCCCUAAAACAUCAUGGUGCCUCCUACCAUUGCACCUCUGCUGCUUUGUUGCCAAUGAAGCCGUGUUGCUAUUAA
rnacentral:lncRNA from 14 species